AUUGAACGCUGGCGGCAUGCCUAACACAUGCAAGUCGAGCGGAGCGGCGGACGGGUGAGUAAUGCCUAGGAAUCUGCCUGGUAGUGGGGGAUACCGUCCGGAAACGUGCGCUAAUACCGCAUACUAUCAGAUGAGCCUCGGUCGGAGUAGCUAGUUGGUGGGGUAAAGGCCUACCACGGCGACGAUCCGUAACUGGUCUGAGAGGAUGAUCAGUCACACUGGAAAUGGGACACGGUCCCGACUCCUACGGGAUGCAGCAGUGGGGAAUAUUGGACAAUGGGAGAAAGCCUGAUCCAGCCAUGCCGCGGGUGUGAAGAAGGUCUUCGGAUUGUAAAGCUCUGUAAGUUGGGAGGCGUUACCAACAGAAUAAGCACCGGCUAACUUCGUGCCAGCAGCCGCGGUAAUGC
rnacentral:rRNA from 1 species